GACGAACGCUGGCGGCGUGCUUAACACAUGCAAGUCGAACGGUAAGGCCCUUCGGGGUACACGAGUGGCGAACGGGUGAGUAACACGUGGGUGAUCUGCCCUGCACUUCGGGAUAAGCCUGGGAAACUGGGUCUAAUACCGGAUAGGACCACUGCCUGCAUGGGUGGUGGGGGAAAGCUUUUGCGGUGUGGGAUGGGCCCGCGGCCUAUCAGCUUGUUGGUGGGGUGAUGGCCUACCAAGGCGACGACGGGUGGCCGGCCUGAGAGGGUGACCGGCCACACGGGGACUGAGAUACGACCCAGACUCCUACGGGAGGCAGCAGUGGGGAAUAUUGCACAAUGGGCGCAAGCCUGAUGCAGCGACGCCGCGUGAGGGAUGACGGCCUUCGGGUUGUAAACCUCUUUCAGCACCGACGAAGCGCAAGUGACGGUAGGUGCAGAAGAAGGACCGGCCAACUACGUGCCAGCCGCCGCCGUAA
rnacentral:rRNA from 1 species